GACGUAGGGCGCGAGCGUGUCCGGAUUUAUUGGGCGUAAAGAGCUCGUAGGCGGCUUGUCGCGUCGACUGUGAAAACCCACGGCUCAACUGUGGGCUUGCAGUCGAUACGGGCAGGCUAGAGUUCGGUAGGGGAGACUGGAAUUCCUGGUGUAGCGGUGAAAUGCGCAGAUAUCAGGAGGAACACCGGUGGCGAAGGCGGGUCUCUGGGCAACAACGUGACGCUGAGGAGCGAAAGCGUGGGAAGCGAACAGG
rnacentral:rRNA from 1 species